AGGACUAACGCUGGCGGCGUGCCUAACACAUGCAAGUCGAACGGACACCACUUUGUAGCAAUACAGAUGAAGUGUUAGUGGCAGACGGGUGAGUAACACGUAGUCAACCUGCCUUACCGUCCGGGAUAACUAGCCGAAAGGUUAGCUAAUACCUGAUACGAUCGUCGAGCGGCAUCGCUUGACGAUGAAAGCAGCAAUGCGCGGUUAGAGGGGGCUGCGGCCCAUUAGCUAGUUGGUGAGGUAAUGGCCCACCAAGGCAACGAUGGGUAGCUGGUCUGAGAGGACGACCAGCCACACUGGGACUGAGACACGGCCCCAGACUCCUACGGGAGGCAGCAGUGAGGAAUUUUCCGCAAUGGGCGAAAGCCUGACGGAGCGACGCCGCGUGCACGAGGAAGGCCUUCGGGUCGUAAAGUGCUGUCGAGGGGGACGAGUUAUGACGGUACCCCUGGAGGAAGCCCCGGCUAACUACGUGCCAGCAGCCGC
rnacentral:rRNA from 1 species